rnacentral:tRNA from 1 species
UGCCCUGUGGUGUAAUGGUAGCACACGGCCCUUUGGAGGCCAGAGUUCAGGUUCGAGUCCUGACGGGGCAG